UAUAGCUGCUAAUGUAUGCACAUUUGGGGGUAUAUAUAUUUCUGAAGAGGUAAGCCGAUCAAAAUAAAUAGAGUGUACAUUCUUUUUAAUGCUUUAGUGAUUAAAUGUUUAGUAUUUUGAACUGAAAUGGAGAAAUACAUUUUGUGUGCAUAUUGUUUCAUAGCAAGAAUUGGUUGCAAAAAAAAUGCUUUAUUUUUGAACAAUGCUUGGAAAUAUUAUGUGAUUUUUUUGUUUGUUUG
rnacentral:lncRNA from 1 species